UCAUAUUCUAUUUUCUUUCCUUAGUGUACCACCCAAAUCUUGACCUAAAUAAAUUAAAUUGCUGCACAAAGGAAAGAAAGACAACAAUUUUCAUCCCUCUUUGGUUGCCCUAGUCACAAAAAAAAAUAGGGAGAAGGAUCUUCUUCUUGUUCUUCAAAAAUUCAACCAUUCUAGUGUUAUUUUAAUUUUCAAGAGUAAUUCAAGCCUAAGGUGCGGAUCUUUGGUAUUUAUAUUCUCUUACAUCAAGGAGGAUAUUUUCUAUUAUCUCUUAUCUUCUUUCUCUUCUUUUUUUUCCGCGCUAGAUCAAGAUGGUGAAUUAAGUACGAAAGAGGAAAAGAGGAAGGCGUGACACCACCACCACCACCACAGUUGACGUGGACCGUUGGCAGCGGUGCCUUGCCACUGCUGCAGCCGCGUCAGUGGGCUGGUCGUGUACCACGACCGGUGCUCGCCACCCGACUGCUACUUGUUGUUGUUUCAUUUUAUUUUCGUUGUGUUGAGCAUGAAAUUUAUUUAUAUUUUAUUAUUUCAUGUAUGCUGAAUUUUUGGUUUAUUAAUUGUUAAAGCAUGUUUAGUAUAUUUAUUUUUGGUUAAUAAAAGGGUUUUGAUAAAGAGGAAAAGAGGAAGGCGUGACACCACCACCACCACCACCACAGUAGACGUGGACCGUCGGCAGCGGUGCCACGCAGCCGCGUCAGUGGGCUGGUUGUGUACCACGACUGGUGCUCGCCACCCGACUGCUACUUGUUGUUGUUUCAUUUUAUUUUCGUUGUGUUGAGCAUGAAAUUUAUUUAUAUUUUAUUAUUUCAUGUAUGCUGAAUUUUUGGUUUAUUAAUUGUUGAAGCAUGUUUAGUAUAUUUAUUUUUGGUUAAUAAAAGGGUUUUGAAGGAGUUUAUUUCAAAGCUUAACGUUUAGUAAAUAUAUAUUAUUAUUAUCAUUUUGAAGUAUUA